AGAGACAAAGGAGGCGUGACAAAAGAAGAGCCGUUAUCUUAAGGUUUGUUUUUAUUAAUUUUUGUUGGUGUUGUCUCAUUGCCUCGUCGCUUGGCGCCUCUGUCGUUGGGGCGGUCACCUCUUGGAAGCAAGGCGAAGUGGUGCCAGGAGAGGUGCUAGAGGGUUGUCUUGCCUUUAAUAACACUGAUUGAUGUCGUAAAGAUUUUGCGGUCGCCGGACGAUUCUCAUCAAAGUGGAAAGGGAGGAAUCGCCACUUUAAUUUUGA
rnacentral:misc_RNA from 1 species